GAUGAACGCUGGCGGCGUGCCUAAUACAUGCCAGUCGAGCGAACAGAUGAGGAGCUUGCUCCUCUGACGUUAGCGGCGGACGGGUGAGUAACACGUGGAUAACCUACCUAUAAGACUGGGAUAACUUCGGGAAACCGGAGCUAAUACCGGAUAAUAUAUUGAACCGCAUGGUUCAAUAGUGAAAGACGGUUUUGCUGUCACUUAUAGAUGGAUCCGCGCCGCAUUAGCUAGUUGGUAAGGUAACGGCUUACCAAGGCAACGAUGCGUAGCCGACCUGAGAAGGUGAUCGGCCACACUGGAACUGAGACACGGUCCAGACUCCUACGGGAGGCAGCAGUAGGGAAUCUUCCGCAAUGGGCGAAAGCCUGACGGAGCAACGCCGCGUGAGUGAUGAAGGUCUUCGGAUCGUAAAACUCUGUUAUUAGGGAAGAACAAAUGUGUAAGUAACUAUGCACGUCUUGACGGUACCUAAUCAGAAAGCCACGGCUAACUACGUG
rnacentral:rRNA from 1 species